rnacentral:tRNA from 1 species
UAGUGACAGUGGGCAGUUAUUCGUCUGGCAACUGCGCUUGCCCAGGGCUUUGGCUGUCAUGAUGGUCGGUGCCAGUCUGGCUGUUUCUGG